rnacentral:snoRNA from 1 species
GCUGGUGCAGCUGAUGACUCUUUCCCCGUCGGAGCGACAGUGCUGACCAUCGCUGUCCGAGCCAGGUCGUGUCUGAUGCGCCAGC